rnacentral:ncRNA from 2 species
ACCACAUAAGGCGAUGGAGCCCGCCUUAACCGCCCGGAGAAGGGCUGAUGGCUCCUGGUCUUUC